rnacentral:rRNA from 1 species
UAGGGAAUCUUCGGCAAUGGGGGCAACCCUGACCGAGCAACGCCGCGUGAGUGAAGAAGGUUUUCGGAUCGUAAAGCUCUGUUGUAAGUCAAGAACGAGUGUGAGAGUGGAAAGUUCACACUGUGACGGUAGCUUACCAGAAAGGGACGGCUAACUACGUGCCAGCAGCCGCGGUAAUACGUAGGUCCCGAGCGUUGUCCGGAUUUAUUGGGCGUAAAGCGAGCGCAGGCGGUUUGAUAAGUCUGAAGUUAAAGGCUGUGGCUCAACCAUAGUUCGCUUUGGAAACUGUCAAACUUGAGUGCAGAAGGGGAGAGUGGAAUUCCAUGUGUAGCGGUGAAAUGCGUAGAUAUAUGGAGGAACACCGGUGGCGAAAGCGGCUCUCUGGUCUGUAACUGACGCUGAGGCUCGAAAGCGUGGGGAGCGAACAGGAUUAGAUACCCUGGUAGUCCACGCCGUAAACGAUGAGUGCUAGGUGUUGGAUCCUUUCCGGGAUUCAGUGCCGCAGCUAACGCAUUAAGCACUCCGCCUGGGGAGUACGACCGCAAGGUUG